AAGGGGAUGUUUGCUGUCAUGCACGGACUGGUCUCUUGAAGGGGAUGCUGGAACUCAGAAGCACCUCUCUGGUGAACAGGCAGGUCCCACUCCAACUUCUUCAGCAGUCACUUCAGUCAGUUUUUUUUCAUCACUUGUCAUUUUCCAGCUUUGAAUACAUCCCGUGGCUGUUCCACGUUCCCAGGAAAGGAGCACAGCUGGGCAGU